rnacentral:rRNA from 1 species
ACCCCACUAUGCUUAGUCGUAAACUUAAAUAGUCCUAAAACAAGACUAUUCGCCAGAGUACUAUCGGCAACAGCCCAAAACUCAAAGGACUUGGCGGUGCUUCAUAUCCUUCUAGAGGAGCCUGUUCUAUAAACGAUAAACCACGAUUAACCUCACCAAUCCUUGCUACUUCAGUCUAUAUACCGCCAUCUUCAGCAAACCCUAAAAAAGGAACGAAAGUAAGCACAACUAUUGCACGUAAAAACGUUAGGUCAAGGUGUAACCUAUGGAUUGGGAAGAAAUGGGCUACAUUUUCUAUAAUAAGAACACCCCUUAAAUUUACACGAAAGUUUUUAUGAAACCUAAAAACUAAAGGAGGAUUUAGCAGUAAAUUAAGAAUAGAAUGCUUAAUUGAAUAAGGCCAUGAAGCACGCACACACCGCCCGUUANACAA